AAAAAAAAAAAAAGAACUGCUAGUAAGGAAACUAGGAAGAGAUUUCAACUGAUAAAAAACUUAGAAUUCAUUCAAAAAAGAAGUCAGGAUGGAAACUGGGUAAAAGAUCAUAGACUAAAUACUUCCUCUACACAGACUUUUACUAGCUUUUCUGGCCAAAGAGAAUAAACAAGUAUCAAAUAUUCAUCCUACCUCUAGAAAGUGAACUAUAAUGUAUGUGUCAAUAUAUCAUUUGUUUCACAAUAUCAACCACCAUUCUCAGAGAUCAUAAGAAUUCAUGGCACUCCCCACUAGCCAUUCUUUCUCAGGCUCCUUUGCUAGAUUCUCCUCACUGAUCUACCACUGAAAUAUUGCAAUCUGAGGGGGGACUCCUGGAUUCCUCUCUUCUUCUCUUGGUUCUCUACUCUUUGCUCCAUGUGAUCCCAUAAAUCUCUACUCCUAUAAAUACCACCUACAUGCUUACGAUCUCAAUAGUACAUAUCCAGCUAGGAGCUCUCCUCCAGAAUCCAAAUGUGUAUCUACCACUGCAAACUGGAUAUUUCCACUUAAGUCUCAGGGCAUGUCAGAAUAAACAUGUCCAAAAUUGAUUUUGCCCCUUUGGUAGUAGGUUGACUGACCUAACUUCUAUUUAUAACUUCCUUUUCCCUUGUCUCCUUUCCUAUGAGGCCAUCAAAGGUCACAAUUCAAUUUCCCAUCCACUCCAAUACCUGGUGGUUUCCAUGGAUCCGUAUAACUCAAUUCUGACCCAUGACAUAUAAAUAGAUUAUCUCCUGAUAUUGUCUUUUCCUUUCAUCCUUCUUGAGGAUCAGAACACAUAUACAAGGCUUGCAGGUUCCACAAUUACUUGGUGAUCAUGAGGUAAUACAAAUGAGGCUGAAAGUUACAGCACCAAGGAUGGCAGAGAGGAAACACAGAAAGAACAUGCAUCUCUGAUGGUACCAUUAGCCUAGUUCACUAGCCCUUAAAUGCCUCACUUCAGUGUCCACGUUAUUUGAAAUAAAUGAAGGUGUACUUGUCUAAACCAAUGUAGUCUCAUUUUCUGUUAGUGGCAGCCCAAGUCAUUCCUGACACAGCCUCCAAAACUGUUUCGUCUCUGUCUUUCUCAUCUCAUUGAAAUGCUUUAUAAUUGCCCCUGAUGCUCCAGCUAGAAAUAAGAUGGGUCUUUUAGAUUUCUCUGUUUCCCACAACCCCUCGAUCCUAACCCUACCCUAUCAAACACACAGAGUGAGUCCAUCAUUAAGUCCUGUGGCCAUUCCUCCAAAGACUAGGGCCACACUCUCAAUGGCUUUCCUAGCACUGCAGCUUCCCCAGGCCAGAUCAAAUGGGGAAGCUUUUCACAUGCUGGUACCAUCCCUACUCAUCUCAAAUUUGCAUGGUUAACUCCUUUUACCCUCAAGGCCCAGCUUAAGUGUGUCCUCAGAGAGGCCUUGUUUGACCAUCCUAUUAAAAUUAUUUAGAAUUUAAUACAGAGAAUUAACAAAAAGGUCUUAUUUGACUGAGAAGAUGAAAGAGGACUACAGAGACAGUGAGAGCAGGAGAUGGCCCCCACACCUGGGGCUGGGAUCUGGAGCUCUGACGGUCCCAUUUGUCUCCAUCUCUACCUCAGGCGCUUGGAGGAGGCUCUGCGGAGCUGCUUCUCAGAUUCCAAGGAGAGGGUGUUACCUGGGUGGUACUGGCACCUCUGACAGGGUGCAAUCAAGCUGUUUCUGGGAAUGCUGGAAAAAACUCGGAACUGCAAACAACUGGUGAUGCUGGGGUAAAAUGCAUGGCAAUGGUACCCACUGGGGCAACAAGGAGAGUGAGGAAGAGCAAGUCCUUUUGGGUUCCUCUCAUCUACCCAUCUUCCACACUGCUUCCUAUGAAUAGAGCCUAAUAUGGACACACUUGGCAAAGGAAAAAUGUGGUGUUUGCAGAGCCUCAGCCUGAAGGAUUCGGAGCAGCAUAUAAAAGGCUGAGUUCAGGGAUGUGGAAGAACAUCAUUUGGCAAAGUCCUGAUACAAUCAGAGGAGAGAUUGAAUAAACGUAGCCUUGGACGAUC